AAAUCAUCAUUUAAAAAAAUAAAUAUAUUAACAAGUAAAUCAAACAUCACCUCAUAAUUUAAAAAAAAAAAAUGAUGAAAACAACAACUAUGUGAUAACUAAUAAUGUAAUGCGGCCACGUAGAUGAGAUUGUUUGUAUGUUGUUUAGCCCUAUAUAUAUGAGCAUGGUUCAUGGUAUCAUCCGUCUGUGCUCCUUGUACUUAGUAUAUCAUCGUACUAAGAAAUCUUUGCCUUGUUGGGAUAUAUCAUAUAUGAUUCCCAACAAAUCCAAUAAUCUUUAUUUGCCAUGAACAUGGCGGUGUAAUUGUUGCUGCAGCAGCAGAAAGAGAGAAAGAAGAAGAUGAGAAGAGCAGCAUUCAAGUGUUUACUGCUACGGAUUCUGGGGUUGUUGGAGCCGUGGCCAAAUAUAUAUAACAGCACCACAAAGAUAAGAGAGUAGUGAUGAUCUGACAUUUGACCUUUGACCUGGGGGUUCUGUUCUGCCCUCUGAUCUAGGCAAGUCUGAUGCUUGGCUUUUAUUUAAAUAAUUGAAUUGAUUUCCAUCUCACAUCUCUCUUGGAGAGGAUGAUCUAUCAUGAUGGUCAUUAAUUAAUUUUCUCAUUUUAUUGUCUUUUGAGCAAGUUUAUCAUUCCCAGAACUAUAUAUGUAAGAUAUGUUGUGUUUACCAAAAGAAAUUAAAUGAACUCAAGUCUCUUAUCUUCCUUAUUAAUUCUUGUUCAAUUCAGUUCUUAUUAUAUACAUAGUAAUUGUAUCAAAUUUUAACAUAGAUACAGCGAUG
rnacentral:lncRNA from 1 species